rnacentral:rRNA from 1 species
GGAAAAGCUGUAUGAAUAUCUUAGGUGCCCGUACCGCAAACCGACACAGGUAGAUAGGAAGAAGAUUCUAAGGCCAACGGGAGAAGGGUUGUUAAGGAACUCGGCAAGUUGACCCCGUAACUUAGGGAUAAGGGGUGCUCAAGUGAUUGAGCCGCAGAGAAUAGGCCCAGGCGACUGUUUAGCAAAAACACAGGUCUCUGCUAAAUCGAAAGAUGACGUAUAGGGGCUGACACCUGCCCGGUGCCGGAAGGUUAAGAGGAGAUGUGAGAGCAUUGAAUUGAAGCCCCGGUAAACGGCGGCCGUAACUAUAACGGUCCUAAGGUAGCGAAAUUCCUUGUCAGGUAAGUUCUGACCCGCACGAAAGGUGUAACGAUCUGGGCACUGUCUCAACAACCCGCCCGGCGAAAUUGUAGUACCGGUGAAGAUGCCGGUUACCCGCGACUAGACGAAAAGACCCCAUGGAGCUUUACUGUAGCCUAAUAUUGGAUUUCGGUAUUUCACGUACAGGAUAGGUGGGAGACUGGGAAGCACAGGCGUCAGCUUGUGUGGAGUCGACCUUGGGAUACCACUCUUGGAGUGCUGGAAUUCUAACCUGCGGCUUUGAAGCAAGUCGGGGGACAUUGUUAGGUGGGCAGUUUGACUGGGGCGGUCGCCUCCUAAAGAGUAACGGAGGCGCUCAAAGGUUCGCUCUGCAUGGAUGGAAACCAUGCGUCAGAGUGUAAACGCAAAAGCGAGCCUAACUGCGAGAAUGACGGUUCGAGCAGUAACGAAAGUUGGAGUUAGUGAUCCGGCGGUAUGUGAAUGGAAAUGCCGUCGCUCAACGGAUAAAAGCUACCCUGGGGAUAACAGGCUGAUCUCCCCCAAGAGUCCACAUCGACGGGGAGGUUUGGCACCUCGAUGUCGGCUCAUCGCAUCCUGGGGCUGAAUUCGGUCCCAAGGGUUUGGCUGUUCGCCAAUUAAAGCGGUACGCGAGCUGGGUUCAGAACGUCGUGAGACAGUUCGGUCCCUAUCUGUCGUGGGCGUAGGAUAUUUGCAAGGAGCUGUCCCUAGUACGAGAGGACCGGGAUGGACGCACCUCUGGUGCACCAGUUGUCACGCCAGUGGCACAGCUGGGCAGCUAUGUGCGGAACGGAUAAACGCUGAAGGCAUCUAAGCGUGAAGCCGCCCUUAAGAUAAGAUAUCCCUUCUGUUUACGGAGUAAGACCCCUUGAAGACUACAAGGUUGAUAGGCUCAAAGUGUAAGCACGGUGACGUGUUUAGCUAGCGAGUACUAAUCGGUCGAGGGCUUAACCAA